rnacentral:rRNA from 1 species
UACGUAGGCAGCGAGCGUUGUUCGGAGUUACUGGGCGUAAAGCGUGCGUAGGCGGUGUCUUAAGUUUGUUGUGAAAUCUCCCGGCUUAACCGGGAGGGUGCGGCGAAUACUGAGAUGCUGGAGUGCCGGAGAGGUGAGCGGAAUUCCUGGUGUAGCGGUGAAAUGCGUAGAUAUCAGGAGGAACACCUGCGGUGUAGACGGCUUACUGGACGGUAGCUGACGCUGAGGCACGAAAGCGUGGGUAGCAAACAGG